rnacentral:rRNA from 1 species
UACGGAGGAUGCAAGCGUUAUCCGGAAUUAUUGGGCGUAAAGCGUCCGCAGGUGGCACCUCAAGUCUGCUGUCAAAGACCGGGGCUUAACCCCAGAAAGGCAGUGGAAACUGAAGUGCUAGAGUGCAGUAGGGGUAGAGGGAAUUCCCGGUGUAGCGGUGAAAUGCGUAGAGAUCGGGAAGAACAUCGGUGGCGAAAGCGCUCUGCUGGACUGCAACUGACACUCAGGGAACGAAAGCUAGGGGAGCAAUGGG